rnacentral:rRNA from 1 species
CCUACGGGAGGCAGCAGUGAGGAAUAUUGGUCAAUGGACGAGAGUCUGAACCAGCCAAGUAGCGUGAAGGAUGACUGCCCUAUGGGUUGUAAACUUCUUUUAUAUGGGAAUAAAAUGUUCCACGUGUGGGCUUUUGUAUGUACCAUAUGAAUAAGGAUCGGCUAACUCCGUGCCAGCAGCCGCGGUAAUAAGGAGGAGCCGAGCGUUAACCGGGUUUUUUUGGUUUUAAGGGAGCGUAGGUGGAUUGUUAAGUUAGUUGUGAAAGUUUGGGGCGUAACCGUAGAAUUGCAGUUGAAACUGGCGGUCUUGAGUACAGUAGAGGUAGGCGGAAUGCGUGGUGUAGCGGUGAAAUGCUUAGAUAUCACGAAGAACUCCGAUUGAGAAGGCAGCACACUGGACUGCAACUGACACUGAGGCUCGAAAGUGUGGGUAUCAAACAGGAUUAGAUACCCGGGUAGUC